rnacentral:RNase_P_RNA from 1 species
UCUGGAGAAAGGAUAAUCGCGCCUCCGAAGCUCGUAAGAGCGAAGGGGUGAGGAAAGUCCAGGCAGCAGAAGACAGGGUGUCCCGGCUAAUAUCGGGAACGGGUAACCGCUAGUUAGAGCAACAGAGACGAGUCUUUCAUCAGCCUAAAGCUGAUGAAAGGGUGAAACGGGCAAUCCUCCCCGCUGCAACCUCCGAAUUGGACCACGGGAUGUCUUCCCCACGUCCUAAAGCAUGAGGGCAUUAGACAGAUGAUUAUCUAAAACAGAACCUGGCUUACUACUCUCCAGAAUAU